rnacentral:rRNA from 1 species
ACCCGCUGAAUUUAAGCAUAUUACUAAGCGGAGGAAAAGAAACUAACAAGGAUUCCCCCAGUAACGGCGAGUGAAGCGGGAAGAGCUCACGAUGUGAAUCGAGCCUUCGGGCCCGAAUUGUAGUCUGGAGAGGCGAGGCCUGCCGCUGUCCGCGGCCAAGUCUGAUUGGAAAUGAGCAUCAUGGAGGGUGAUAAUCCCGUUCUUGCCGCGGUAUCCAUCAGCGCGCACAAGGCCCGUUUUCGAAGAGUCGAGUUGCUUGGGAUUGCAGCUCAAAUGGGGUGGUAAACUCCAUCCAAAGCUAAACACGGGGGGGAGACCGAUAGCGAACAAGUACCGUGAGGGAAAGAUGCAAAGAACUUUGAAAAGAGAGUUAAAGAGUGCCUGAAAUUGCUGGGAGAGAAGCGAAGGAAAGAGGCGUGCGGUCGCCGGAGCGCCAACCCCCAUUCUUGCCCUCGUGGUGUGGGGGUAGGCCGCUCCGCCGCUGUCAGCG